rnacentral:lncRNA from 1 species
UCUACUUUGUCGCUUUGGCCUUAGUAGACCAGAGGUCAUUUUGACGCUUCGGCCUUAAUGAUCUCAAGGGGAGAAUCCCAAGUUCUUCCUGACACUUCUGUCGCUUCGGCCAGAAGUCGUCAAAUUCGGGAGGAGUAUCACAAGCUCUUCCUGACACUUCUGUCGCUUCGGCCAGAAGUCGUCAAACUCGGGGGGGAGUAUCACAAACUCUUCCCGACACUUCUGUCGCUUUGGCCAGAAGAUGUCAAACAUUGAGCACGAUAGAUCUGUCGCUUCGGCCAGAUCAAUCGAGGAGUUAUUGAGCGUGGGAAGGAGCGGCACAAGAGGCAGCCCCUCACGGCAAGGUUAGUAAGUCAAUAAAUAUAUCCUUUAGACUGAUACAGUUGUUUUGCAGGUUAUUUUUGUUUUGCAGGAACGAUCCUGUCGCUUUGGCCAGGAUCCACGCAUUUUGUCGCUUCGGCCAGAAUCAGACUCUAAACGAGUCGGUCCAUUUUGUCGCUAUGGCCUCAAUGGACCAAAGAAUUAUUUUGUCGCUUUGGCCUCAAUAAUUCUUCUAUCUUGUCGCUUUGGCCUUGAUAGACUUGGAGAUCAUUUUGUCGCUUUGGCCUUAAUGAUCUCGACCCACUUUGUCGCUUUGGCCUUAGUGGGGUAACCGUCGUUGCGGACGUAAAGUCGCUCUUGAUCAGGGUGGACUAUAAACAUGGGUUCUGAUAGUGAACC